CGACCUCCACUCCAGGAUCCUCCACCUCGCCAACCUCCCGAUCUGCCGGUCGCCGAUUUCAAAAUCGCCUGACAUCAUCGAUCUUGGCCAUCAUCCCCAGCCCUAGCUGGCCCGCCGACGUGAUCAAGGACGAGAAUAGCUGGACCGACGUCGACUAUUGCAAGCAUAACGAGGUGAGUCCUCAAUUAAAAGAAUCCCAUUAAUUGAUUUUAGGCAGGAGGAAAAAAGGCGAGAUUUUGAGGGGAUUUUUGGUGGUUUUUUUUUUGAAUCUUUUGAGGAUUUUUAGAUCGGCAGAUGCACGUGUGUGCAGCUGGAGAGGGUGAGUUCUUAGCGUCUUCUUGGAUUAAUUUAAUGCUUUCUUGGAAAGUUGGAAUGGAUUAGAAUACAGAGGAUUCUGAUGUCACCCACCUUCUUCGCCUUUGUUUGGCAUUCACUGCACCCAUCUCUCUCCUCUCUAUAUCACUUUUCUAGUGAGCUUUCCUCUGUUCUCUUCAUUUUUUUUGCUAAUUGAGAUUUUUUUUAUGAGCAUAAUGUGAUUCCCAGUUGGUUUUGGGAUCUGAGAUUGCCUAGUUUUGGAAUUCUAAGGUAUGUUGGAAUGGGAUAUUGAUUUCCAAGCCUGUCGUCUUUCUUUAGCCGAACAUAUGUUUUCUUUUUUGUCUGUGACCAGGCUUGCUGUCAUUGCCUUUUUUUGUCUGUGACCAUUUCAACAAUUGCCAACCCACUUGAUGGAUCAACAGAAACAAGUUAGUCAUGUUCAUGGUUUCUACAUCCUUUAGUUCUGGGUCGUCAUUUUAUGGUAUAGAUGGACGUCCAUAUUACAAUGAUGAAGAUGGAGCUAGUGGUGCAGAUAAAGAUCAUAUGACUUCUUCGCAAAGAAAUUUUGGUCCAAGUUCAUCCACCUAUGAGCAGGAGGUACCUUAUUGUUAUUCUUGUACUCAAGGUAAUGCUUCAUUUAGCAUUUGUCAGUUGUAUUUUUGUACUAAUAUUGGAUGCAGAACCUCUGGAAUCUUCAAUAGUGAGCACUCAAAAUGUUGACAUUAGUUACAAGCUUUGCAGAUCAUUAUUUGUCCUUACAGUAACUAUUAUUUGUUUUGGUCAUAUAGACUAAUCUUUUGUUGGUUUUCAGCUUCCGUAUGAUGUAUAUGGCUAUAUUUUGAUUUCUUAAUAUUCUUAUCUUUUUCUGCAGAGACAGAUGCUGUAAUUUAUGCGAAACUGAACAGCCGAAUUUGUUCCCUAGUUUUGAUGCAUAAUCUGGAGCUAGGCCUAUUAGCUGGAACAUUGUUUGGAACUUCACUUAUUUAGCAAUGGAUCGCGGCUGAAAGUCCUGAUCUUGAUAGAAUGAUAGGAUCGCGGCUGAUCUUAACGGUCUGGGAGGAAAAACGAGACCUUGUCGAAGUUGGGUCAUUGAGCAGUGUUCAUCAGCUAUCCAUCUUCAUCUUUGUUUAGUUUAUUAUACCUUUUUAUAUAGGCAAGAGCCAAUCCUGUUAACAUCAAUUCUUAGUUGUUUGAAAACAGUUUGACUUGCGUCCAAGAUGGCCGUUGGGUGAGGAAUACUCCCAAGGGAAAAGCGAAGCUCGUUCCUUGAAAAGAGCCAGGAUACACCCAUAGUUGACAUCGCCAUAAUUGCUAUCGUGCAUCACAAGCUGAACCGAUGCAUCAAAUAGCCAAUUUUCUCCUUCCAGGCCACAGGAUGUUACUGAAAUGGAGCCAUGAAGGUUAUCAGCUCAAACAACAUCCAGAACACCUGGCGGUCACCAUAGCUUGCUCAUGCAGCGCUCUCUUUGUAAAUUAAGCAGCAGGGGACAGUGAUGAAUGUCUAAUUUAAAACUUUCUUGUCCUUUUUAUUGGCAGCCAAUCUGAUGAAUACCAUUUAAGAUGUCUUCGUUCAGGAAAAUGCAUCUUUUUAACAACUUGUGUUCAUACUUUCCCUUAAUUUCAUGUGACACUUGUAUCUGUGGUCUUAUGGUACUGCGAGGCGCUGAGCCAAAAAGAAUUUAUGCUGGCAUAAUUAAAUCUCUCAA